UACGUAGGGCGCAAGCGUUGUCCGGAAUUAUUGGGCGUAAAGAGCUCGUAGGCGGCUUGUCACGUCGGGUGUGAAAGCCCGGGGCUUAACCCCGGGUCUGCAUUCGAUACGGGCUAGCUAGAGUGUGGUAGGGGAGAUCGGAAUUCCUGGUGUAGCGGUGAAAUGCGCAGAUAUCAGGAGGAACACCGGUGGCGAAGGCGGAUCUCUGGGCCAUUACUGACGCUGAGGUGCGAAAGCUAGGGGAGCAAACGGG
rnacentral:rRNA from 1 species